GCUGCGUGGGCGUAGCGUGGGCCGCGGAGCUGUGUGGCGCGAGCUCCCGGAUCUUGGCUCAGGCGGGGCCGCUCUUGCGCCGAAGGCCGUGUGGGACGAGUUUUAGGUCCGAGCCUAAACUCGGAGGGGAGUGUGAUCCUUUGGCUCUCAGGUCCCACUCAGCCAGAGGCGGGCCGUCCCCACCCCGCCGCCGGGGUACUCGCAGCCUUUUGGACGCCGAGGAGGAGGAGGGGGUCGAGGCAUUUGCAAGAGGAGUCAUUUCCGGGAAGCUUCCCUCCCUGCAGUCCUGUUGCAUUGAGUGAGCGGCCGAAGUCAGGGAGAGGAGACGGAUGCCCGAGUUACACGGCGGUGGCUCGAACCCACGGUCCCUUGAGCAAGACUGGGAAGCGAGUGCACGAACACUGGCGACUCGGAUAAGGAAGGGGAGACCCUCCCCCUUGGGGCCGCUUAGAUAAACGUCUGGACUCGCUCGCCCCACCUUCCGGGGGUCUCCGCGGACCGAAGACCGAGGGCUCCAGGCGCGCCGGCGCGGCGCGGCCAGCAGGGGGCGCGUGGCUCGUCCGCCCGCUUCCCCAGCCCCGGGGUUCUGCCCACAUGCCUGGGGCGCCCACUCUCCUGCCGCGCGUCCGGAGGACGCUCCUCAUUAUUUUGCCUGGUGUUGGGCUAAGGCAGUAGACCUCACCCCCAGCCCAAGGUGUAGACACAGUUGGCUGACUUGUUCUGUAGGCUCAGGAAAUAUUUCAGGCUUUGUGGUCUCUUUCACAACUUUGCGGCUGUAGCAGGAAAGCAGCCAAAGACCAUACUAAAUGCAUGUGGUGGUGUUCCAAUGAAACUGUUGACUGAAAUUUGAAUUUCAUGUAUCAGGAAAUAUUUUUUUCCGACCAUUUAAAUGCAAUGUGUUCUACUCCAGUGUCCGAUAUGAAUGAAUAUAGUAUCCCAGGUGUAGUUUUUUCAAGAUUUUAUUUAUUCAUGAGAGACACAGAGAGAGGCAGAGGGAGAAGCAGGCUCCUUGAAGGGAGCCUGAUAGAGUCAGUCCCAGGACUCCAGGGUCACGACCUGAACCGAAGGCCGACGCUCAACUAUUGAGCCACCCAGGCGCCCCCCAGGUGUAGGCUUUAAUCAGUGUACAGUGGAGUGAGAUUAUUACUUUUCAAUUUCUGGGUAUAGAUCAGAUUUAGAAUGACCUGAGAUUUUUCUUCAGGAAAAGAUCUCUAAACAACUUGGAACAGGAACUUUAUUUGGAUGUUUCUGUCUUCUCUAUGGGUAAGCCACAAAGGCCCACAAAUUUUUGGUGGGAUAUUUCCAGUCUUCUACACUGGGAAGGACAAUUAUUAGAGAAGCGAUAUGCCAAGGGCCCUGAGCAUCCCUCCAGUUCCUGCUGGGUAUGCCAAGAAUGCAGUCUUCAUUGUCUCUACCUGGGCCAUUUCUCAGCCUUGUGUGUAUAGCAAGCAAAUAUGCAGGGUGGGGGCACCUGGGGGUGAGGAGACAAAGAGCACGUUUCCUCACAAUUCACUGUAAAGGUAGUGAUUCCCCCAGGCUUUCCUAUAACAGUCCACUGUUGCUGCUGGAAUCCAGGGCCCACCUGUGUCACCCUCUUGCAAUUUGGGGUGGGCGUGCAAGUCAAGAAUAAUUGGCUUAGAUGUGAAGUCUGGCUGCUUUUGCCAGGAGUAAGAAAGUGCUUUGUCUAUGACCCAGGAGUCUCAUGUCUUCUGUGUCUAUGAAAUAGUGACAGGCUAGUUUAUCAACCCCUGCGAGGUAAAAUUCCAGGGCCUUUAAAGUCCUGGACAUGUAUUUUUCUGAGAAUGGAAUCUUCUUGAUGUGCAGAAAUUCCUGCAGAGUUGCACUCAUUUACUGAGGGGCCUAUUUACCAUGUGCAAGGUGCUGUACUUGGUAUAGGAGACACAGAAAUGAGUAGAAUAGCCUCUCCUUUGUUAGGAGCAUAUUCUCUAGAAGGAAAGAUGGCCAUUCUUCUGAAGGUCUUAACUUUUAUUUUUUAAACUAAGCUCUACUCACGAUGUGGGGUUCAAACUCGCAACUCUGAGAUUAAGAGCUACAUGCUCUCCCAACUGAGCCACCCACAUGCCCCUACUCAGUAUUCUUGUUUCUCUAACAUCCCAAUCUAAAUCCUUAGUGAGUCCUAUACUCUACCUUCAAAACAUACUCAGCAUCAGGUCAUUUCUCACCACCUGUGCUGCAACAACCACUAUUUCUCCUCUGAAUCUCUGUAAUAGCUUCCUGCUUCUGCCCUUGUUGCAUUUUAGAAUCACCUGCGGAACUGAAGAAAUACUGAUGCCCAGUCUCCAUCCCACGUGAAAUAAAUCUGCAUCCCUUGAGGUGAGGCCCCAACACUGGUAAUUUUAAAAGCUCCCAGGUUCAUUCCAAUGUGCAGCUGAGAGUGAGAUCCACUGCUGUUGACAAUGAGAAGACACUGUAAGGUUUCAAGCAGAUAGUAACCUCGUUGAAUGCACUACUCCACCUGUAGAGCUGUGGCGGCCUUAAAUGUUUUCACAGGACUUCAGCAAAAGUGUUGGAAGAUACAUUGAAAGGGGUGAGAUUGGGGCAGGGUGAACACUUACUCGUUAUGAAAUGAUCUUAACAAGGGUUGAUUAAAAGCCUGAAAUGAGGUAGUGGCAGUGGGGAUCGAGAAGAGAUGGAACUGGAAUAUAUGGCAAUAGGCUGUAACUACAGGUAAAGAACAGCGCAGCUUCUAACUUUCCUGCAGUUACUGUGAAUUAAAAAAAAAAAAA
rnacentral:lncRNA from 1 species